rnacentral:rRNA from 1 species
UGGGGAAUAUUGGACAAUGGGGGAAACCCUGAUCCAGCAAUGCCGCGUGUGCGAUGAAGGCCUGCGGGUUGUAAAGCACUUUCGGUGGGAAAGAAAUACUCAAAGAUAAUACCUUUGAGUGCUGACGUUACCCACAGAAGAAGCACCGGCAAACUCUGUGCCAGCAGCCGCGGUAAUACAGAGGGUGCAAGCGUUAAUCGGAGUUACUGGGCGUAAAGGGCGCGUAGGUGGACCUUUAAGUCGAUUGUGAAAUCCCUGGGCUUAACCUAGGAAUUGCAGUCGAUACUGAUGGUCUAGAGUAUGGUAGAGGAAAGUAGAAUUCUCGGUGUAGUGGUAAAAUACGUAGAUAUCGAGAGGAAUACCGGUGGCGAAGGCGACUUUCUGGCCCAAUACUGACACUGAGGCGCGAAAGCGUGGGGAGCAAACAGG